rnacentral:rRNA from 1 species
CCUACGGGGGGCAGCAGUGAGGAAUAUUGGUCAAUGGCCGAGAGCCUGAACCAGCCAAGUCGCGUGAGGGAUGACUGCCCUACGGGUUGUAAACUUCUUUUGUAAAGGAGUAAAGUGAGGCACGUGUGCCUUUUUGUCUGUACUUUAUUAAUAAGGAUCGGCUAACUCCGUGCCAGCAGCCGCGGUAAUACGGAGGAUCCGAGCGUUAUCCGGAUUUAUUGGGGUUAAAGGGAGCGUAGAUGGGUUGUUACGUCAGUUGUGAAAUUUUGCGGCUCAACCGUAAAAUUGCAAUUGAUACUGGCAGUCUUGAGUACAGUUGAGGUAGGCGGAAUGCGUGGUGUAGCGGUGAAAUGCUUAGAUAUCACGAAGAACUCCGAUUGCGAAGGCAGCUUACUAAACUGCCACUGACGUUGAUGCUCGAAAGUGUGGGUAUCAAACAGGAUUAGAUACCCCAGUAGUC